UACGGAGGGUGCAAGCGUUAUCCGGAUUCACUGGGUUUAAAGGGUGUGUAGGCGGAUUUUUAAGUCAGUGGUGAAAUCUCCGGGCUCAACCCGGAAACUGCCAUUGAUACUAUUAGUCUUGAAUUCUGUUGAGGUGGGCGGAAUACAUUAUGUAGCGGUGAAAUGCUUAGAUAUGAUGUAGAACACCGAUUGCGAAGGCAGCUCACUAAGCAGACAUUGACGCUGAGGCACGAAAGCGUGGGGAUCAAACAGG
rnacentral:rRNA from 1 species